UACGUAGGGGGCAAGCGUUGUCCGGAUUUAUUGGGCGUAAAGAGCGUGUAGGCGGCUUUGCAAGUCGGGUGUGAAAGCCCUCGGCUCAACCGAGGAAGUGCGCCCGAAACUGCAGAGCUUGAGUACCGGAGAGGAUGGCGGAAUUCCCCAAGUAGAGGUGAAAUUCGUAGAUAUGGGGAGGAACACCGGUGGCGAAGGCGGCCAUCUGGACGGAUACCGACGCUGAGACGCGAAAGCGUGGGGAGCAAACAGG
rnacentral:rRNA from 1 species